rnacentral:rRNA from 1 species
GGUUAAGCGACUAAGCGUACACGGUGGAUGCCCUGGCAGUCAGAGGCGAUGAAGGACGUGCUAAUCUGCGAUAAGCGUCGGUAAGGUGAUAUGAACCGUUAUAACCGGCGAUUUCCGAAUGGGGAAACCCAGUGUGAUUCGUCACACUAUCAUUAACUGAAUCCAUAGGUUAAUGAGGCGAACCGGGGGAACUGAAACAUCUAAGUACCCCGAGGAAAAGAAAUCAACCGAGAUUCCCCCAGUAGCGGCGAGCGAACGGGGAGCAGCCCAGAGCCUGAAUCAGUGUGUGUGUUAGUGGAAGCGUCUGGAAAGGCGCGCGAUACAGGGUGACAGCCCCGUACACAAAAAUGCACAUGCUGUGAGCUCGAUGAGUAGGGCGGGACACGUGGUAUCCUGUCUGAAUAUGGGGGGACCAUCCUCCAAGGCUAAAUACUCCUGACUGACCGAUAGUGAACCAGUACCGUGAGGGAAAGGCGAAAAGAACCCCGGCGAGGGGAGUGAAAAAGAACCUGAAACCGUGUACGUACAAGCAGUGGGAGCCUCUUUAUGGGGUGACUGCGUACCUUUUGUAUAAUGGGUCAGCGACUUAUAUUCUGUAGCAAGGUUAACCGAAUAGGGGAGCCGAAGGGAAACCGAGUCUUAACUGGGCGUUAAGUUGCAGGGUAUAGACCCGAAACCCGGUGAUCUAGCCAUGGGCAGGUUGAAGGUUGGGUAACACUAACUGGAGGACCGAACCGACUAAUGUUGAAAAAUUAGCGGAUGACUUGUGGCUGGGGGUGAAAGGCCAAUCAAACCGGGAGAUAGCUGGUUCUCCCCGAAAGCUAUUUAGGUAGCGCCUCGUGAACUCAUCUCCGGGGGUAGAGCACUGUUUCGGCAAGGGGGUCAUCCCGACUUACCAACCCGAUGCAAACUGCGAAUACCGGAGAAUGUUAUCACGGGAGACACACGGCGGGUGCUAACGUCCGUCGUGAAGAGGGAAACAACCCAGACCGCCAGCUAAGGUCCCAAAGUCAUGGUUAAGUGGGAAACGAUGUGGGAAGGCCCAGACAGCCAGGAUGUUGGCUUAGAAGCAGCCAUCAUUUAAAGAAAGCGUAAUAGCUCACUGGUCGAGUCGGCCUGCGCGGAAGAUGUAACGGGGCUAAACCAUGCACCGAAGCUGCGGCAGCGACGCUUAUGCGUUGUUGGGUAGGGGAGCGUUCUGUAAGCCUGUGAAGGUGUGCUGUGAGGCAUGCUGGAGGUAUCAGAAGUGCGAAUGCUGACAUAAGUAACGAUAAAGCGGGUGAAAAGCCCGCUCGCCGGAAGACCAAGGGUUCCUGUCCAACGUUAAUCGGGGCAGGGUGAGUCGACCCCUAAGGCGAGGCCGAAAGGCGUAGUCGAUGGGAAACAGGUUAAUAUUCCUGUACUUGGUGUUACUGCGAAGGGGGGACGGAGAAGGCUAUGUUGGCCGGGCGACGGUUGUCCCGGUUUAAGCGUGUAGGCUGGUUUUCCAGGCAAAUCCGGAAAAUCAAGGCUGAGGCGUGAUGACGAGGCACUACGGUGCUGAAGCAACAAAUGCCCUGCUUCCAGGAAAAGCCUCUAAGCAUCAGGUAACAUCAAAUCGUACCCCAAACCGACACAGGUGGUCAGGUAGAGAAUACCAAGGCGCUUGAGAGAACUCGGGUGAAGGAACUAGGCAAAAUGGUGCCGUAACUUCGGGAGAAGGCACGCUGAUAUGUAGGUGAAGUCCCUCGCGGAUGGAGCUGAAAUCAGUCGAAGAUACCAGCUGGCUGCAACUGUUUAUUAAAAACACAGCACUGUGCAAACACGAAAGUGGACGUAUACGGUGUGACGCCUGCCCGGUGCCGGAAGGUUAAUUGAUGGGGUCAGCGCAAGCGAAGCUCUUGAUCGAAGCCCCGGUAAACGGCGGCCGUAACUAUAACGGUCCUAAGGUAGCGAAAUUCCUUGUCGGGUAAGUUCCGACCUGCACGAAUGGCGUAAUGAUGGCCAGGCUGUCUCCACCCGAGACUCAGUGAAAUUGAACUCGCUGUGAAGAUGCAGUGUACCCGCGGCAAGACGGAAAGACCCCGUGAACCUUUACUAUAGCUUGACACUGAACAUUGAGCCUUGAUGUGUAGGAUAGGUGGGAGGCUUAGAAGUGUGGACGCCAGUCUGCAUGGAGCCGACCUUGAAAUACCACCCUUUAAUGUUUGAUGUUCUAACGUUGACCCGUAAUCCGGGUUGCGGACAGUGUCUGGUGGGUAGUUUGACUGGGGCGGUCUCCUCCUAAAGAGUAACGGAGGAGCACGAAGGUUGGCUAAUCCUGGUCGGACAUCAGGAGGUUAGUGCAAUGGCAUAAGCCAGCUUGACUGCGAGCGUGACGGCGCGAGCAGGUGCGAAAGCAGGUCAUAGUGAUCCGGUGGUUCUGAAUGGAAGGGCCAUCGCUCAACGGAUAAAAGGUACUCCGGGGAUAACAGGCUGAUACCGCCCAAGAGUUCAUAUCGACGGCGGUGUUUGGCACCUCGAUGUCGGCUCAUCACAUCCUGGGGCUGAAGUAGGUCCCAAGGGUAUGGCUGUUCGCCAUUUAAAGUGGUACGCGAGCUGGGUUUAGAACGUCGUGAGACAGUUCGGUCCCUAUCUGCCGUGGGCGCUGGAGAACUGAGGGGGGCUGCUCCUAGUACGAGAGGACCGGAGUGGACGCAUCACUGGUGUUCGGGUUGUCAUGCCAAUGGCACUGCCCGGUAGCUAAAUGCGGAAGAGAUAAGUGCUGAAAGCAUCUAAGCACGAAACUUGCCCCGAGAUGAGUUCUCCCUGACUCCUUGAGAGUCCUGAAGGAACGUUGAAGACGACGACGUUGAUAGGCCGGGUGUGUAAGCGCAGCGAUGCGUUGAGCUAACCGGUACUAAUGAACCGUGAGGCUUAACCUU